UCCACAGGAUAGCUCAGUUAGUAGAGCAUGAGACUCUUAAUGUCAAUGUUGUGGGUUCAAGUCCCACAUCGGGCAAAA
rnacentral:tRNA from 1 species